rnacentral:rRNA from 1 species
AUGGUUGCCAUGGCGGCCACCAAAGCUGCCUACAUUUUCAGCACAUCCAUCUCACUCCUUCUCUUGCUGAUCCCUGUUGCUCUCGCCAAGGAUCACCAUACUCAUGGCACCAGCUACCUCGAGAGAGGUUCAUCGGUGUUCAUCGAGGAUGGCACCACCACCACCACCACCAUCCUUGCGUCGCCCAACGGCCUCUUCGCCUGCGGCUUCUACAAGGUGGCCACCAACGCCUUCGUCUUCUCCAUCUGGUUCAGCGGCUCGUCGGCGAAGACCAUCGCGUGGACGGCCAACCGCGACGCGCCGGUGAACGGCAGAGGGUCCAGGCUCGCCUUCCGAAAGGACGGGAGCAUGGCCCUGCUCGACUACGAUGGCACGACCGUCUGGAGCACCAACACGACCGCGAUUCGUGCCAGCCGUGCAGAGCUUCUCGACAGCGGCAACCUUAUCAUCAUGGAUCCAGACGGUCGGAGCCUCUGGACAAGCUUCGACUCACCGACCGACACGCUUCUGCCAUCGCAGCCGAUGACUCGGAACAUAAAGCUGGUAUCUGCAUCUGCCAGGGGCUUGCUCUAUUCAGGUUUCUAUACAUUAUACUUUGACAGCGACAAUGAGCUAAGACUCAUCUACAAUGGCCCUGACAUCAGUAGCAUAUAUUGGCCUGCCCCUUUCAACCAACCGUGGGUAAAUGGAAGGACUACUUAUAACAGCAGCCGGUAUGCUGUUCUUGAACAGACAGGCAAGUUUGUCGCGAGUGACAACUUUACAUUUGAAGCUUCUGAUCUUGGUGAUCAGGUUAUGAGGAGGCUGACUCUGGAUUAUGAUGGCAACCUAAGGCUGUAUAGCCUAGACGCGACAAGCAGGGAUUGGUCGGUCUCUUGGAUGGCAUUCCGCCGAGUCUGCGAUAUACAUGGGCUGUGUGGCAAAAACAGCAUCUGCAGAUACCGACCGAAGCUCGAGUGCUCUUGCCUUGAAGGUUUCGAGGUGGUUGAUGCAAGUGACUGGAGCAAAGGGUGCGCGCCCAAUGUAAACAAGACAGCCAGCUGGGACUACAGGAGAAGACACAAGGCAAACAGCACGGCCACCCAGGAUUUCUCAUUCAAAAAGCUCGCCGAAACUGACUUCUAUGGAUAUGACUCGAACUAUGUGCAGCAGGUGUCAAUUCUGCAGUGCAGACGUAUGUGCUUGGACAAUGCUGAUUGCAAAGCUUUUGCUUACCGUCAGGGAGAAGGCACAUGUUAUACAAAGGUCUACCUUUUUAACGGCCAGAGCUUUGCAUAUCCUCCCAACGACGUUUAUCUGAAAGUUCCCAGGAGGUUGCUGUCUUUGCCAGAAUUGACUUCUACACUAGCUCACACAUGCAGAGUUCAUGAAAAAGAGGCAGACAGUUCAUCACAGAUGUUCCAGGACGGCUCUUCCAAGUUCAAGUUUGGCUACUUCCUUUCUUCCGCGUUAACGCUGCUUUUCAUCGAAGUAACUUUAAUCAUCGCUGGUUGUUGGAUUGUUUAUAAAUGGGAAAGAAGACCAGAGAUUACAGAUGAAGGAUACAUGAUAAUAUCAAGCCAGUUCAGGGUAUUUAGCUACAAGGAGUUACAGAAGGCAACCGAUUACUUCCAAAAAGAGUUAGGAAGUGGUGGAUCAGGAGCAGUUUAUAAGGGAGUCCUUGAUGAUGAAAGGAAGGUCGCGGUGAAGAAGCUAAAUGAUGCGAUCCAAGGAGAGCAGGAGUUCAGGUCUGAGCUAAGUGUCAUAGGCAGAAUUUAUCAUAUGAAUCUGGUCAGAAUUUGGGGGUUUUGUGUCGAGAAGACGUGCAAGCUCUUGGUUUCUGAGUUCAUUGAGAAUGGUUCUUUAGCCACGGUUCUGUUUGAUUACCAGAGCCUAUCUCCUGUGCUCCAAUGGGCCCAAAGGUACAAUAUUGCAGUUGGGGUGGCGAAAGGACUGGCCUAUCUCCACCAUGAGUGUCUUGAAUGGAUUGUGCAUUGUGAUGUCAAGCCAGACAACAUAUUGUUAGACAAAGACUUUGAGCCCAAGAUUGCAGAUUUUGGACUGGUGAAGCUACUGCAACGAGGAUCAAGCGCACAAAUGUUGUCAAGGGUGCACGGGACUAGAGGCUACAUUGCACCAGAAUGGGCUCUAAAUCUUCCAAUCACUGGCAAGGCCGAUGUUUACAGCUAUGGAGUAGUGCUUCUUGAGUUAGUGAAGGGGAUUCGGGUUUCCAGUUGGAUGGUUGAGGGUAAGGAGGAAGUGGAAAUGGCUGUUAGAUGUUCUACUGAAAUUCUUAAAGAGAAACUUGCAGGCGAAGAUCAUUCAUGGAUCCUGGAGUUUGUCGACUAUAGACUGGAUGGAGAAUUCAACCAUUCAGAAGCACUCAUGAUGCUUAAGAUAGCAGUAUUAUGUGUGGAAGAAGAGAGGAGCAGAAGACCGAGCAUGAGCCAAGUGGUCGAAACUCUGCUUUCACUUGUGGAAUAA